rnacentral:misc_RNA from 1 species
GGAAUAAAAGUCGUAACAAGGUUUCCGUAGGUGAACCUGCGGAAGGAUCAUUAUUGUAUAACCGAGGUGCGAGGGCUGUCGCUGACCCGAAAGGUCGUGCACGCCCGAGUGCCCUCACACACAUCCAUCUCACCCCUAUGUGCAUCACCGCGUGGGUCCCCCUUUGGCUUGUUCGGAGGGGGGCUUACGUUUUCACACAAACUUUGUAUGCAGUGUAGAAUGUAUUUUUUGUUUUUGCGAUCACGCAAUCAAUACAACUUUCAACAACGGAUCUCUUGGCUCUC